GUCUACGGCCAUACCACCCUGAACAAGCCUAAUCUCGUCUGAUCUCGGAAGCUAAGCGGGGUUGGGCCUGGUUAGUAUUUGGAUGGGAGACCACCUAGGAAGACUGGGUGCCGUAGGAG
rnacentral:rRNA from 1 species